UGUCAACGCGUGUUCCGUUCCUCUCUUCAUUCCUUGUCUUGUGGUGCGCUGUUUUUUCCUUCUUCUUCUUCCCAAGUUCAGCAUAUACCAACUAUCCCAAAUGAAUAUGCUAGUGAAAAUUGUGAGGAAGAAUGUGCAACGUUGGACAUAAGAAGUGGGCAGAUUCUGUUGAGGGACGCCGGUGGGUGGCUUCAGGCUUCCGUGAGCUAUGAGUCGGCAAUAAUGCGUUGAGUCGAGAAGAUGCUUCUAAAGGAGAUCGGGAGUUCAGUUGGAGCCUUCCGAGAGAGAACCCCGGAAAUCAUCGGUUGCGCACGAAACUUUCCACUCUGACCGAUUGCGUCAAUCCUAACGAGGAGCCGGUGUCGCCGAUCGAGUGAUGAUGAUGGUGGCAACCGGUUGGUACCUCGAGGCUCUGCAUCGCUUUCUCAGCCAUUGAACUCGCCCCCGGCAAGGCAUCGAAGCAUCAUCGAUACGUGAGAGGGUAUCACUUUCUCAUGCCGUUCCGUUAACUGGUUGCGGCUGGACGCCCUUGCUCUUGAAACGGCCCAAGGAGAACUCUGCUUCCUGGACGGAGUUGAACGUCCCAGGGACGACGUGCGGUGUCAACGGCAGCCAGUGUCUUCCCGGAACAAGCAUGACCCACUCUUUUUCCGAUCGCCUUUCUCUCAAACGCUUCGUAGCUGCUCCUGCUGCAGCCAGCGCACGAGGCGCUUGCAGUAUAUGUUCCAGGCAACAGCCCUACCUACUGCUUGCACUUCGGCGAAAAAAAAAAAAAAAGAUGUUCAUCUUCUUCAUCAGCAAAUUAACGGAAGCGUAACUGAAACCCUAGUAUCGCCCACUCUUGUUAAUGGGACAGCCUGUUGUGCUGCACACUGAUUGUUAAAAAAAAUGAGCAUGGUAGUCAUGGUACACUUCCCACGCUCUUAAACAGAACUUCACCACAAGACAACAUAAUACGUUGAAGGAAAACCAUAUGACAACAUUAUCGCGGUCCCGAUUUGUGGAAAAGCGCUGGGCAUACGCCUUUUUGUGGCAGUUAUAUACCCUAACUGCAAAAGUAUCGCGAGAAGGCUUUGCGCCUCCCGUUUUCAUCAAAUCAGGGGAAAGAACCACGUGUUUCGGGCUGAUGGCUGGCUAGUAGCGUCUCAUGCCGUGAAGUUCUGUGAAGUUCAUGCCAUGAAGUCCACCAUGACGUCCACCAUAUCCAUAAUGACUAUGCGUUCCCCAAUCGCACACGACACAUGCAAUCAUUUUCUGUAAUGUAGAAAGAAAUCUUCUUCGGUGGACUAUGAGGUCAGGUUGGAUACUUUCUUUCCUGACAAACGUGAGGAACAUCCAGCGACCCUAAGGACCAGCUUCGUGCAUAUAGGCCCUCGGGAGUCUUGAACACGUUGAUGAACCUUUUGGACCAUGGUCCUUCUUGUACGGGAUUCUGCCGGACCAAGUGUAAACUGCACAAGAGAACUGCUUCCGUCCUCCAUACCGGUGCAAAUGUAAAUAAACUUAUCAGGGAAUGAAGCCCUGGCAGGAAACGGCAGUCGUCCCUCAUCAGAAGACAGAGCAGGAAAAAGUCAGUGCGGGCUAGGUCUUGAGGAGGGUGGUCGGCAACUUAUGCUGUCUUCAGCUUUCUCCGGGACGGCAGAGAAUUUCCAUGCCCAGCCUUCUUGCUUGUCUCGGGGUCCCAGAGCUAAAUCCACGUUUAAUUCACCGUUACCAGGACCUUCUGACCCUGGUGUCAGCAGUAUCGGUACAGAAAGGCCUUCGACUUUCCCAAACGUUCGACACAUGACGAAUGACCCAGUAGUCAUACCAAGUCCUGCAGCAACCUGAAGCACAGUCACACGCCUGAUGCCCAUAGCUACGUCUUCCACUUUGCGUACAUUCUUUUUAUUUGGCUCGAACAUAGCACCUCACCGAGUUCAACGCAGUGCAGUACAAAAUUGAAUGGGAGCAGGCUUCUGUGUGACACAUAUUUAUGACAUGGGAGCAUAAUGCAAUACGUAUGCAACGUUGCAAUACUGUCACAGCAUUGCAUUAUACUCAGAGCCCGAAGUUCCGCACGUAAACCGUUAUAUCGAACGUCUACCCUCCUACAACGUAGCUUAUAACACGAUGGCAGGAGCGCUAUUUUCAGAACGCCGUCUAGUUCAGCUUUUACAAAUUCUUGAAUAGGACUGCAGCCAAUAUGACCUUAUGGAUCAUACUGACGUAAUAUUUCAUUAUUAAAGAGGGGUACCCUCGUUGUAUGAGCAAAGGAAAACCACUAAGAAAGUGACUGCCUAUAGCGACCACCCAAGAUUGCGCGGAACCCUUUCUUGAACGAGCAUGGAUGUUGCAGCAAUCCCUCAGGAACCCCUGAAGACAUUGGAAACCUGUUCUGUAAUUCACUGCAGGUCAACGACACGUAUUAACCUUGACAAAUGCUUCAGUAAAUUGCACGAAGGGUUUGCCUCUCGGCACAGCCGCUCUCACGUGCACUGCUGAUAGAUGUGUGUACUUCUGUACAGCAACAGUGCAGUAGUUAAUUGCCUCCAUGCCGCAAAGGCCCCUAUCUUCUCAGUGGCCGACUACGGCGAUAGGAACUUUCGUUUUACCCUGCGAGAAAGGAACAGCCUCUUUGAAGAGCGGCCGAAACAGGGAGGAGCAUAGAGGAACUUACUCUCCAACUGGGAACUUUGCCUUGCGCCUUUAGCGUACCUUAUAUUGGGACUGUACGCUUUGUGAAAGAUAGCCCCAAAAUAUAC